GAUGAACGCUGGCGGCGUGCCUAAUACAUGCAAGUCGAGCGAACAGACGAGGAGCUUGCUCCUCUGACGUUAUCGGCGGACGGGUGAGUAACACGUGUAUAACCUACCUAUAAGACUGGGAUAACUUCGGGAAACCGGAGCUAAUACCGGAUAAUAUAUUGAACCGCAUGGUUCAAUAGUGAAAGACGGUUUUGCUGUCACUUAUAGAUGGAUCCGCGCCGCAUUAGCUAGUUGGUAAGGUAACGGCUUACCAAGGCAACGAUGCGUAGCCGCCCUGAGAGCGUGGUCGGCCACACUGGAACUGAGACACGGUCGCGACUCCUACGGGAGGCCGCAGUAGGGAAUCUUACGCAAUGGGCGAAAGCCUGACGGAGCAACGCCGCGUGAGUGCUGAAGGUCUUCGGAUCGUAAAACUCUGUUAUUAGGGAAGAACAAAUGUGUAAGUAACUAUGCACGUCUUGACGGUACCUACUCAGAAAGCCACGGCUAACUACGUG
rnacentral:rRNA from 1 species